CCAGAACACAGCACUUCUAAGACAUGCUAUGGUUACCCUGCUUUCUGAUUCCAAGAGCAACCUAACUAAACCUUCAAACCUGGCACCAGGUGCUGGCACCAGACCGUGCCAGUAACUCUAUAUAAACAGGAGGGGAAACAACUGUUUACAUGCGUUGAUAAUGACAGGACAAGGGGGAAUAGUUUUAAACUGAGACAGGGGAGGUUUAGGUUAGAUAUUAGGAGGAAGUUUUUCACUCAGAGGGUGGUGACGCACUGGAACAGGUUGCCCAAGGAGGCUGUGGAUGCCCCAUCCCUGGAGGCAUUCAAGGCCAGGCUGGAUGUGGCUCUGGGCAGCCUGGUCUGGUGGUUGGCGACCCUGCACACAGCAGGGGGUUGGAACGAGAUGAUGAUUGUGGUCCUUUUCAACCCAGGCCAUUCUAUGAUUCUAUGACUAAGAACAAGACACGACACACAGCCCUUCAGCAGUCGUGCUGCAGACAGAUCUGCAGAGAGAGACCAAAGCAACAACUCGGAAGAAUGAAGAUCUUCACUCAACCCCAAGAAAGGAAGGAUCGUAGCAGAGACCUCCAGCUCUUCCCUACACCACAGUACACCUCAGUCUUGCACUCUGCAUACCAAGGAUGAAACCACUGAUGUGUGCAGGCACUGAAGUCCCGAAGGUAAUCCUACAAGAAAACGUGAUGGUGUCCUCCAUCACUGUGCUGAGAUACUGUU
rnacentral:lncRNA from 1 species